rnacentral:rRNA from 1 species
GCAAGUCGAGCGGUAGAGAGAAGCUUGCUUCUCUUGAGAGCGGCGGACGGGUGAGUAAUGCCUAGGAAUCUGCCUGGUAGUGGGGGAUAACGCUCGGAAACGGACGCUAAUACCGCAUACGUCCUACGGGAGAAAGCAGGGGACCUUCGGGCCUUGCGCUAUCAGAUGAGCCUAGGUCGGAUUAGCUAGUUGGUGAGGUAAUGGCUCACCAAGGCGACGAUCCGUAACUGGUCUGAGAGGAUGAUCAGUCACACUGGAACUGAGACACGGUCCAGACUCCUACGGGAGGCAGCAGUGGGGAAUAUUGGACAAUGGGCGAAAGCCUGAUCCAGCCAUGCCGCGUGUGUGAAGAAGGUCUUCGGAUUGUAAAGCACUUUAAGUUGGGAGGAAGGGCAUUAACCUAAUACGUUGGUGUCUUGACGUUACCGACAGAAUAAGCACCGGCUAACUCUGUGCCAGCAGCCGCGGUAAUACAGAGGGUGCAAGCGUUAAUCGGAAUUACUGGGCGUAAAGCGCGCGUAGGUGGUUCGUUAAGUUGGAUGUGAAAUCCCCGGGCUCAACCUGGGAACUGCAUUCAAAACUGACGAGCUAGAGUAUGGUAGAGGGGUGGGUGGAAUUUCCUGUGUAGCGGUGA